rnacentral:rRNA from 1 species
GAUGAACGCUGGCGGCGUGCUUAACACAUGCAAGUCGAACGGAAAGGCUCCUGCUUGCAGGGGUACUCGAGUGGCGAACGGGUGAGUAACACGUGGGUGAUCUGCCCUGCACUUCGGGAUAAGCCUGGGAAACUGGGUCUAAUACCGGAUAGGACCACAUUUUGGAUGGUGUGGUGGAAAGUUUUUCGGUGUGGGAUGAGCUCGCGGCCUAUCAGCUUGUUGGUGGGGUAAUGGCCUACCAAGGCGUCGACGGGUAGCCGGCCUGAGAGGGUGUACGGCCACAUUGGGAUGGAGGCAGGGCCCAGACCCCUAGGGGGGGGAGGGGGGGGGAAUAUUGCAAAAGGGGCGAAAGCCUGAUGGAGGGACGCCGGGGGGGGGAUGAGGGCCUUCGGGUUGGAAACCCCUUUCCCGGGGGACGAAGCGCAAGGGGGGGUACCGGGGGAAAAAGCACCGGAUAACUACGG